CGCACCCAAGACACCUGGGCGUGGGCCACAGGGUCCGUAGAGACCCCGGUGGAUGUCCACUCCAGUCCUCGGUCCCUUUAAUCGUGUCCUCGAGGCUUGUUAGGCCAGUUCUGUGUCCCCUGGCUUUAGGAAGUACAAUACAGCUGGUGUUUAGCAAACUCUAGUUAGGCUGAUGAACCAGGGCUAUUUACGUGGCCUGCUGAUUACAGAGCAGUGAUUAGGUACUUAGAGAAGCUCUGAGACUGUCAUUUCAGGUGUCAGCCCUGUGAGAUCCUCCUGUGGAAUGAGCUUAUUUGUGUCCAUGUGAAAAAAUAGUAGAGGGAAAUUCAAACGUGGUAGUUAUGAAAAAUCAUCUACAUUGCAAAUCACUCACGGAAAUUCACAUUGAUUAGCUAGAGGUGUAAUGAGAACAUGAAUUUGUGAAUCUGCUGUUUUUUAAUGCUCACUACCUGGGACAGCGAACAGGGGUGAUCUGGCAAUUACAGGGCUAAUUAGAUCCCUUUUGGCCUUCAGACUGGAAACUGCACACCCCAGCUGCCCUCCCCGAGAACCGUUUCAUGGACUCAGCUCCACAAAAGCCCAGGCACACUGGAUUCCUUCCUACCAGCUCGCCCAACAUUGGCCUUAGCUUACCCUGGAGGCCUUAAAAUGCCCCAGGGUGUGGGAAUCCUAGUUGUAGUUGACUUUAUGAAUCCUAGCUCCCAGGCUUCAGGUGCACAGCAAGACACAAGUCCCUUUCACUGCCCCAAACGCGAGCUGGCCGGAAAGAACCAAGUCAGAGCUGGUGAGGGUGGUGAGACCCUGGGAAGUGAAGUCUGUGGUGUUCUAGAGCAGAUUCUUGAUCGGCCUCGGGUAGGCAGAUGCCAGACCUUGGGGUUUUUCUGUUUCCAUGCAGAAGUGGACACAGUGGCGAGGUCAAGGGGUGGGCCAAGACACCCAGCCUUCAACAGCUCCCCAGACCUGCCUCAAACCACAUCUUAAAUAAGGGAAUCAUGGUGUUACGGCAAUAAGGAUUCCAGAUAGGUCCUUUGGACUCUCCUCCUGACAGAUGAUGACAUCAUAAACCUUGUGGACAUUCUGGAGCUGCCACUGGCUCUGAGCCCAGGCCCGGACCAGAGUUGUCUGUGGGGAGCCGUUCGUGGAUGAAGUGUGACAGGGUGAAACUGGAGUGGGCGGAACCUGCAGUUCCCACGGCGCCCAAGGAAGACGUGUCAGCCAAAGUGAGGAAAAGGGAGAAGUUACACUGGAGCUGUGUCUCCUUUAGCGGCUUUUCAGGCUUCUUCAGCAGGACCCACGGUGAGAAAGACAUUUUACCUGAGGGCACACACACACACACACACACACACACACUCGUGGGCAUCCACGCAGGACUAAAACAAAAGUUUUAUAAACAAUACCAACCCUUCCUAGGUAUGAAGCCUCCUGCUAUUUUCUAUUAUAUUUUAUUUGAUUAAAGAAAAAAAAGAUGCUGGUCACACCCA